UGGGGAAUAUUGCACAAUGGAGGGAACUCUGAUGCAGCGACGCCGCGUGAACGAAGAAGGCUUUCGAGUCGUAAAGUUCUUUUAUAUGGGAAGAUAAUGACGGUACCAUAAGAAAAAGCCCCGGCUAACUACGUGCCAGCAGCCGCGGUAAUACGUAGGGGGCUAGCGUUGUCCGGAAUCACUGGGCGUAAAGGGUUCGCAGGCGGAAAUGCAAGUCAGGUGUAAAAGGCAGUAGCUUAACUACUGUAAGCAUUUGAAACUGCAUAUCUUGAGUAGAGGAGAGGUAAGUGGAAUUUUUAGUGUAGCGGUGAAAUGCGUAGAUAUUAAAAAGAAUACCGGUGGCGAAGGCGACUUACUGGGCUCAUUCUGACGCUGAGGAACGAAAGCGUGGGUAGCAAACAGG
rnacentral:rRNA from 1 species